rnacentral:misc_RNA from 1 species
CCUAGAGUUGUAGGCUUUGCCUGCUAUCUCUUACCCAUGUCUUUUGAGUACCUUCGUUUCCAUCGGCGGGUCCGCCCGCCGAUUGGACAAUUUAAACCAUUUGCAGUUGCAAUCAGCGUCUGAAAAAACUUAAUAGUUA